GCUCUUGUAGUCAUUAUUAUAAGUUUUGAGUCUGUUUUUUUACCCUAUCCUGCAUUAGUAUAAUGCUACAAAUUUCUGCUAAUAUUCAUUUACUUAUUUAUAUGCCUCUAGGUGGAUCCAUCAGGUUCAUAUUUCUCAUGGAAAACCUCUGCAAUGGGGAAGAAUGUCUCAAAUGCAAAGACAUUUCUCGAGAAGAGGUACACUGAUGAUAUGGAACUUGAUGAUGCUGUCCACACUGCUAUUUUGACACUCAAGGAGGGAUUUGAAGGGCAAAUAUCUAGCAAAAACAUUGAGAUUGGUAUUAUAGGCACUGACAGAAAAUUCAGGCAAGUUUUGUUUUCAUUUUCUCAUUAAGCUUGCUGGUUGUCUUAUGCCUAUGAGACCCAGAACAUUGACCUAGGUUAAGUCCAAAAUGAUUUGAAAGUUUUCUUUUGGCUCAAAUCCUCAGAUCUGCAAAUUUUCUUUUCUAGUUUUAAAUCAGAUGAUUAUAUUAACUCUGUCUCUCUCUCUCUCUCUGUGGCCUUUGCUCUGCAACAAAACUCUUUUAGUUACAUUCUGCUGAAAUUAAGGAUAAUGCUUUGUUUUUAUUUUUUUUCAGGUGCUUUCUUUUAAGAAUAAAUAAACAAAAUUAUAGUUCUUGAUGCAAAAAGAGACAGAAAAUAAAAAACGCUUGCCAUUAAAUGCUCAAACCACUCUUAAAAUUUCAUUAACCUUUUUCCUCAUUUACAAAUUGUUUAGAUAUGCCUGAUGUUAUUCACACACAACCAUAGAGUGCAAAUUCUUGAAUGAAAAAUAGUCCUCACUUUUCCUUUGUGUUUUUGGUUCCAAAUUUCAUUGCUUGCCAUUAAAUGGUUUGAGAACUUUUCAUUGAUGUCGCUAGCAUUUCUC